rnacentral:sRNA from 1 species
ACCUCUCAUAAUGAGAGCUCUACCAUUUUGAGCUUACAGAUCUAUUAGCACAA